rnacentral:misc_RNA from 1 species
AGUCUUUUCAAGAAGAAAAAUGAGGUAUCAAUGCCCUUUCAUUGCUCUCUGUGUUUCUUUUUGCAUUUGUGUACUAGUCUUCUUUAGUCCGUUUAUAUCAAUACGGAGCAAUAAACAUAACACUGAAAACAAUAAACAAAGAAAGGAGGCGAACACCAAAUCGAGAGAAAAUGGAAAGAUACCCGAGAUUCUAUGUCCCGAAGGAGAAAUCCCACUAGCAGUUCACUAUCAGAUGUUAGAUUUAGACUCAAUGGGAGACGAAGAUUCUGGAAGCAAUCUUGUAAAGAGCGAUGAAGAAUACAUUGCAUCUCUCUUAAGUUGGACUCAGGCCAACAAAAAUAGUUCAUGCAUCAGAGAGUCAUCAUUGCUGCAGUUUUGGUCCCCUGGCAAACGAGUAGGAGACUUGUGGAUCCUUUAUGGAAGCCAAGAGGGCGAACUUUCACAUAAUCGUCAUGAUCCUCCCGCCUAUUCGGGGAUUCAAUCAGUAAUUUUCGAUCUUCUUCAAACAUUCCAUCCAAGACCGUUUCUGCAAACCAGAUUCGAACCAAGAGGAGGAUAUGCUGUACUUAGAGCGUAUAAUGGAGACAUUGUCGAUAUCUUUAUAAGAUUUCACGCCGAAUUCCAGCUGAAUGAAAAGCCCCUGUUACCAUUUUGGUUUACACCGGCAUAUUUUACGGGGAACAUAGUUUUAAAUACUAAAACUGGAGAUCUGCUACAAUUUAAUUUACACGUUCCAACAGCGAAUGAGUUGAAUGUGGAUUUAGAAUGGUAUGGCAGCAACAGACCAGAUGAUAACUUGAUGGUGGAUAUUGGAUAUCUCCCUGUGAUGGAAUUAAAGUCGACAUUUUCAUUCUCACAGGAAAAUGUCUACAACUGGUCAGAUGAAAUAUCGGUAGAAGAAGCACAAAAAAUAUUAGAAAAAGCUUUUUUUCCUUUUAAGCAGGUGGACUACCUACCAUUUGAGAAAGCCCUUCUGAAGGCCAAGGAGGAGAGUAAGCUGAUUCACCAUAUCGUUUUAUGGGGAUCACUCGAUGAUCAGUCCUGCUGAGGAUCGGGGCGGACUCUACGCGAAGGUCCACUCGCGAGUCCGCCCGUUAUGAAGUUUCUUCAAAAGAAUUUCAUUUCUUCAUGGUCCCUUGUCGCUAGGUUAAAGAAGCUGUCACAUUCAAAAGACAGUUUUGUUGCCAAAGCAGCUGCUGAUACAUUAGAAGCAUAUUCGUUUCCUGUGGAGAUAAUUGUAUACGACCAACGUCAAGAUAUUGUACAUUUUGAAAAUUUAAAUACUCUGUUAGAGGAGGAUGUUCCAGACACACCAGACUUUGAUGGAUAUGAUGACAUUCUCUCAUACAGAUAUGCUAAUAUGCUUAAGAGAGCAGUGGCGGCGGCUGGAAGGGAUAUUACAGAACUUUAGAUGAUGAUUCAGUGUGAUCGAACACCAGUGCAAUGAAAAACAAAUGUCUAAGGAGAUACGCUCAGUCUUUACAAAAUAUGAAAAAGUGGUUGUCUUUGAGGAUCAGAUGAAUUUUAGGUAAAUUUGAAGUGGAUAAAACGUACUUGUAUGUUUAAAUCAUUUCUUCGAAACAAUCAGUCAAAUAAAGAAUUGUUUUCUUG